GCUUCGGCGGCGCGGAGCCCCUCUCACCGGGCGACGCGGCCCCGCCUCUCCGGAGGUGUGGCGGCGCCCGCCGGAGGAUACGAAACUCUCAUGCAUUACAGUGGCAUCUCUGAGUACUACACAAAUAAGUUAAAACUUUCAACAACGGAUCUCUUGGUUCUGGCAUCGAUGAAGAACGCAGCGAAAUGCGAUAAGUAAUGUGAAUUGCAGAAUUCAGUGAAUCAUCGAAUCUUUGAACGCACAUUGCGCCCGGUGAGUACUCUACCGGGCAUGCCUGUUCGAGCGUCAUUUCAACCCUCAAGCCCCGCUUGGGCGUUGGGGCCCUACGGCUGCCGUAGGCCCCGAAAGGAAGUGGCGGGCUCGCUGCAACUCCGAGCGUAGUAAUUCAUUAGUCUCGCUAGGGAGGCUUGCGGCGCGCUCCUGCCGUUAAAGACCCCAUCUUUAACCAAGGUUGACCUCGGAUCAGGUAGGAAUACCCGCUGAACUUAAGCAUAUCAAUA
rnacentral:rRNA from 1 species